AUGCGCCCUGGUACUUAACAGGUUCCGAGAAUUUCCAAAGGACGCAGGUCAGCCUGGCCUUAGCAAGUUUGAGCGAGAUCCGCCGGACUGUGGCGUCCUCUGGUGUCUGUUGCUGGAGCGAGUCCCAAUGAGUUCCCAUCUCCGCCGCAGACACUUUAAGAUUAGUUGGACCCUGAGAGCUAUCCUGAAAAACGGACUACAGGCAGGUGUGAUGGGUAUCACUUCUGAGAGAUGGCAAUUGAAAGCUGCUAUUGGGUGUCUCCUUCAACCUUGAGGUCACAGCUUGGAGACAUGUGUUUCCAAUAACAGGUCCUUACCACGUGAUAACUAACAUCUAAGAACUGGAUCCCAAACAAACAUGUUCCAGGACAUUAGCUUCAAAUAGACCUCCGCCGACACUGGCAUCAAUACCUCCUACCUUUGAUGAUUCAUGAAAGAACAACUAUUAUUCGCCUGUCACUCACCUUUGAUUGGACCCUACCCUGGAUUUCUAAAGGAACAUGGACCCUAGAUCCUUUUCCAGUAUGAACCCCUAACACCAAGCAAUAGUGACUCAUUCUCCUUUCUAAGUCUCCUACAUCAAUUACAAAUCCUAUUCUGGAGUCAGACGUCUCAUAUGAUUCCUGGCUCUGCUACCUAUUAGUAUGAAUUAGGCAAGUUAUUUAACCUCCUUGUGACUAAGUUUCCUCAUCCUUAAAAGAGGAUAAUAAAAAAAUUAUCUCAGAGGGUGUUCUGAGAAAUAAGUUGAUAAAUAUAGGAUUUAUUAGAUCCUAGUGGCCUAAUGUAAAUCAUUAGACCAGAAGAGUAUUUAUCAAAUAAAAUUUAAAGAAGGGAAAGAAACACGGAAGAAAGGAAGGCAGGAAGUAUCUGGCUAUUCAUUUUGAAAAUUACUUCAAUCAAGCUUCAAUCAAGCACGCAUUUACUUAUGUACUCUACUAAUUUCUUAAACACGUUGACCAUAUGGAACAAGCAAGGUCCAGCUAACCUCUGUCCUAUUAUUUGAUAAAGUAAAUUCUCACUUAAUAGAUGAUGAAGAGUUAAAUACAUAAAAGAAUAAAUGAAUGUAUAAAACUAGAAAUCCCUGGAUAUCUGGAAAUGGAUAUAAAAAGUAACAUUUUUCAUAUUUUUCCCAAAUGUACACAAAAAGGAAUAAUCUAUAUGAAGCCCAAGAAAAACAUGAACCAGAGCACUAAGGGGCUAGUAGGCUGAAAUGUACCUAAAUGGGCCUCUUCAAUCAGGCCUCACCAAUUUAGAUACAGUAGACACCCUAUUUCAGGCAUGCAAGAUUCAAUUCCAGCUGUAACAUGGCUCAAACCACUUGCUUUACUGUUUCUCUUACAUAAACAAGGUCAAGUUGAUGGUACUUACUCAUCUCUCCCCAUACUGGAAACACCUUUGAAAAAGGUUCUAUAAGAAUAUGACACUCAGAAUAUAUAAUACCUCAUACCAGUGCCCACCAUGACUCUUCCACAUUGUCCUGUUUGUGUACUUACUCGCUGGGUUUUCCGUGCUAUGGAGACUGACCAUUGGGAUGCCUGGGCCUGGAUUUUAAAAACAUACAUAUUAAAAAUAUGUAUAAAUUAAAAAUUUGUAUAAAUAUUUUAAA